GAUGAAGAACGUAGCGAAAUGCGAUACUUGGUGUGAAUUGCAGAAUCCCGUGAACCAUCGAGUCUUUGAACGCAAGUUGCGCCCGAAGCCAUCAGGUUGAGGGCACGUCUGCCUGGGCGUCACAUAUCGUUGCCCAAUGCCUAUUGCAGUGCAAUAGGAAUUUCUAGGGCGAAUGAUGGCUUCCCGUGAGCGUUGUUGCCUCGCUGUUGGUUGAAAAUCGAGUCCUUGGUAGGGUGUGCCAUGGUAGAUGGUGGUCGAGUUAGAACGAUACCGAUCAUGUGCAUGCUCCCCAAAAUAUGGCCUCUAUGACCCACACGCGUCUUUUGACGCUCAUGACGAGACCUCAGGUCAGGCGGGGCUACCCGCUGAAUUUAAGCAUAUCAAUAAGCGGAGGA
rnacentral:misc_RNA from 1 species